ensembl:lncRNA
GUGGGUUCAUUUGCUUUAUUUUUAUUUGGGACAGUUUGGGAUUUUUUUUUUCCUUGUUGGUGUGGUGGUUUGGGAUUUGGGGUGGUUGUAUUAUGAUGGUUUUCGGAUUUUUGCUUCUGAUUUUUGCCUUUUGCAACUUUGUGAUGUUACGUAAAUCGUAGGAUCCCGCAUCGGUUGGAUUUUGUUUUGUUUUACCCCUAUGAAAUCUCUCAAGCGAUAUAAGGAAGACGUGUUGUUUUAAUACUGAUAGUGUUGAAAGAAGCUUGAAUUUUUUGUCGUAUGUAACAAUUCCAACCCCCACUUUUUUCAGGGGGGCGGGGAAGGGUAUUCAAUUUUCCUUUUCCUCUUGGACUUUUACUGAGAGGACGCUCUCCUGCACUUGAGAGACAUGUUCAAAGGAUUUGUUUUGGUUUGUUUCUUUCCAGGACAGCAAGUGGUGGGUUUACUCUGUUAUUGUUGACUCUUAGGAAAAUUCUUGCUGCAAGAAACGUGUGUGUAUGUGUACGCGUACGCUUGUGUUCUACAAAAUUCUGUGAGCCAAAUACAUGUUUGUGUUCUGCUUUUUCUUUAGGUCUUGGUUCCCCCCGCUCCCUCCCAGCUCGUUUCAAGAUGGAUUACUGCAGCUUCUGCAGAAAAGCCUGUCUUGUGAAGGAUUUUUGAAAAAUAUACAUAGGCCUAAUCCUGUCACCCUUGUGGAAAUGAACAUUUUACCCCCGAAGACACACGUUAUCGUUAAAUGAAGAUUCAUUUUGCCAGAAGGCAGACUGUUUUUUAAAUUGUCCCCUUCCUCCUGAUUUCGAAAGAGUUUUAAAGGAAUCCCACCGGAUUCUAAAUGACACCCGAUUUUGCUGAAGCGAUCGUCUUUGUGUAUUUCUAUGGGUGAUUAUUUUUCUAUUUUUUAUGAGUAUGUUCCUCAGGUGUAUCUGGGUGGUUUGGAAUGUGAAUUGUGUGGUUCUGCCCUGCUACUGAUUCUGCAAUGUGAUAACUUUUGUGAUGUGGGGUCCCUUUUCUUGUCAAAGUUGACAUCCAGCCUCACUGGGUCCUCCCCACCACCACUUGAAACACACUGCUUGUCCCUCUCGCGUUCUCUUUGCCAUUCCAAUCUUAGCCCCGUGGGGGCGCUGCAGAGCAAAGGGAAAUCUGCUCUCUCUAGCAGUAGAACCAACCAGAGUGGGGGCUGGGAAUGAAUUCACCCUUCUAGUACCUCAGCCCUCUAAUUCUCUGCGAGAAGUCUGUAAAGGAAGACCCCACUAGGCCUGGUUUAUAGAUAAUUAAUCCCAUCACCAGGGUCCUCAGACCCUUUCUGGGGCCAAAUGCCAGAGUCCCACAUUUCUAAUACUCCCCCAGCCCCCAAAUUGAAAGAAAUUAACCAGAACAGGAGAUGUUAAAAGAAAAAAAAUUAUUGAAAAUAUUUUAAAGGUAAGGAUUUACAUUUUUGUAGGUCCCCUUCUCUUUUCCAGAUGAAUGGUGAGGAAAAUUGUGCACCCACCUCUCAAUCUCUUCAAUUAUUAGGAAAGUAACUUUAUCAAAUUUUUUAUACCCAUUGAAUUUCUUCCAUAAUGUCCUGCCUUCUCUCAUUUCUUGAUUUCUCCCCAUUAGUAAUCAGUUGGCAUCACUCUGUGAACCUCCCUCACCCCAGCAGUGAUAGGAUUAAAGAAAGGAUUGACUUGAAUAUAUUCAAAUUCUUUCAAAUCAUCCAUAAGAAGCCCUGAAGAGAGAUUUCAUGUCUGGGGUCUUAUGUGUGAUUCUUGUGAACUUGGAGGGUUAUGUAUCAAACCAGUCCUAUGAUUUAAUGGCUUCUGGCUAUUAAUACUCAGAGUAGAGGAUCCAGUCAGCCUGUUUGCCUGGUGGUUUGGGUAUGGUGAUAGGUUCUUAAUCACAGGUUCUGGAUGAAUAUAAGCUUUGUUGCAAAAUAAAAUAGCUUGGUCUUAAUAUUACAUCUGUUUAAGGAAAGGAACAGAUUUUGCAUCCAGUUCCCUCACAAACUUCCCCACAAUACAGCCACAGCUGAAAAGGAACUAUCCUUGGAGUAAACACUGUCUUGUCCUCUUUCUAAGGGAACUCCCAAGAGGAAAUUGGUUUCACCUGUCAGGGAUUUCUGGCACCUUGGUAGAUCUUGAAACUGUCACAUAAGAGAAUUAUAGAUUUUAGGACUGGAAAGAACUUUGCAGAUCAAUCAACUCCUCGAGGCUUCCUUCUUUCAAGAGGACAGGAGGGCCAUCACUGGAGGCCUGCGGGACCCCGAGACACAACUGAGAACAGGUCUUUGUGGUUCUCUGGUCCUGUGUUAGAGAAUCAGGAAGAUCUGACUGCCUGGGCUUUGAGGCAGAUUCUUCACCAGCUGAGCCACCAGGGAAGCCAAAGAACACUGGAAUGCAUAGCCUAUCCCUUCUCCGGCGGAUCUUCCCGACGCAGGAAUUGAACCGGGGUCUCCUGCAUUGCAGGUGGAUUCUUUACCAGCUGAGCUACCAGGGAAGCCCUCUGUCCUCAGCAAUUGUCUGAUCCCACGCAACUGAUUUUGUAUCACUGGAAACAGGCCCACACAGAAUGUAUUUGCUGCACACACUGGACCAGGCUGAGUCAGAUCCAGAACUUUGAUGUCCUGGUUCUAAAUCCACUGUGUUUUUCCAUAGCUUAUCAUUAGAAGAGGAUACGGGGUGGGCAGACCUGCCAAAGAGCCAUUUUCUGUGGCCUUACAUUUUCUGUGACCUUCAGAGAAGUCUCCACUUUUGGACUCCUGAGAUCAUCUCCACUGAGGUUCUACAUCAGUCUUAACAGUACAAUGACAGUAUGGAAAGGAGCAGACUGUCAUUCACAAGUUCUGCAUGUUGGUCCCAGUGUAGGACGCCGUAUAGGAGUCCUCACAGGUUCCUAUGGUACUGUGACUUAUCACUGUUAAUAAACCUAUAAUUAUCUUAGGAGUAGUGUGAUUGCAUUGUAAUUGUGUGUACAUUGGUGUUAAAAAUGUAAAAUUUAAUGUAUUU